AACGAACGCUGGCGGCAUGCCUAACACAUGCAAGUCGAACGGGAUCCUGGUUUCGGCCAGGUGAGAGUGGCGGACGGGUGAGUAACGCGUGGGAACCUGCCCAGUGGUGGGGGAUAACUGCGGGAAACUGCAGCUAAUACCGCAUGAGCCCGCAAGGGGAAAGAUUGAUCGCCAUUGGAGGGGCCCGCGUUCGAUUAGGUAGUUGGUGAGGUAACGGCUCACCAAGCCUACGANCGAUAGCUGGUCUGAGAGGAUGAUCAGCCACACUGGGACUGAGAUACGGCCCAGACUCCUACGGGAGGCAGCAGGUGGGGAAUAUUGGACAAUGGGGCAACCCUGAUCCAGCAAUGCCGCGUGAGUGAUGAAGG
rnacentral:rRNA from 1 species